AUUGAACGCUGGCGGCAUGCCUUACACAUGCAAGUCGAACGGUAACAGGUCUUCGGAUGCUGACGAGUGGCGAACGGGUGAGUAAUACAUCGGAACGUGCCUAGUAGUGGGGGAUAACUACUCGAAAGAGUGGCUAAUACCGCAUGAGAUCUACGGAUGAAAGCAGGGGAUCGCAAGACCUUGUGCUACUAGAGCGGCCGAUGGCAGAUUAGGUAGUUGGUGGGAUAAAAGCUUACCAAGCCGACGAUCUGUAGCUGGUCUGAGAGGACGAUCAGCCACACUGGGACUGAGACACGGCCCAGACUCCUACGGGAGGCAGCAGUGGGGAAUUUUGGACAAUGGGCGAAAGCCUGAUCCAGCAAUGCCGCGUGCAGGAUGAAGGCCUUCGGGUUGUAAACUGCUUUUGUACGGAACGAAAAGCCCCGGGUUAAUACCCUGGGGUCAUGACGGUACCGUAAGAAUAAGCACCGGCUAACUACGUGCCAGCAGCCGCCGCAGUAA
rnacentral:rRNA from 1 species